rnacentral:pre_miRNA from 1 species
UUAACACAAAUUUGUAUGGAGUUUGAACGUUUGUCUACGUUAGCCGCUAGGGGCGCUGUUCCAACUCCAUACAAAUUUGAGUUA